rnacentral:tRNA from 1 species
GGGUGUAGCUCAGGGGUAGAGCUCUCUCCUAGCAUGCAUGAGGCCCUGGGUUUGAUUCCCAGCACCACA